UACGUAGGGUGCAAGCGUUAAUCGGAAUUACUGGGCGUAAAGCGUGCGCAGGCGGUUUUGUAAGUCUGUCGUGAAAUCCCCGGGCUUAACCUGGGAAUUGCGAUGGAGACUGCAAGGCUAGAAUCUGGCAGAGGGGGGGUAGAAUUCCACGUGUAGCAGUGAAAUGCGUAGAGAUGUGGAGGAACACCGAUGGCGAAGGCAGCCCCCUGGGUCAAGAUUGACGCUCAUGCACGAAAGGCGUGGGGAGCAAACGAGG
rnacentral:rRNA from 1 species